CCUCCACCCCCAUCACCAUCUCCCCCACCAACCUACUACUAAUAUUCAAAUCCUUCUCUAAUCAUUUUCCGCCAUCUUCAUGAUUUAUUAACUCCUUUUCAUCCUCCAUUGGAAUAUUACCGUUUCCUUUUCCAAAAUUUUAUGUUUGCUUCCCAAAAUGAUCAGCUUUGCAUGCUGUGUGUUCUUUUGUUCUAAUAAUUCGUAAUAUUUAUCAUUUGAGAUUUCCAUUAUUUUGGCUUAUUGUAUCAAGAUUCUAUUUUGGUGUAAUUUAUCAAGAAUUCUAAUUUGCUCAAAUAUUAUCUUCUGUUCGUCUAAUAUUUAUCUAGAGCAUUUUCUUCUCAAUUAUGGUUUAACAAGGAAAAAAAAGAGUAAGGAAAGGUGCAAGAUAUAGUCAUGGAUCGAUGCUUCAACACAAAUUCCCUUUUGGCUUACUGGCUACUGCUGUGAAUAUGGAUUAUAAUUGUACUUUAUCAGCUUUUAAGAAAAUAAAAUUAUAUAAACUAAAUAGAAGAAUAAAGGAAUGAAGAUAGUUUUAAUUUAGGCAUAUACAUUAUUUUUCUAAAAAGAUUUAUCCAUUGGAAAUAUUUUAAAAAAUAUAAAACUAAAUUAAAACACCUUAUUAAAAUACAGCAUUUACCAUGAAAAUUACUUUUAGAAAAACAAGCACCAGUGCUAGUAGCUGCUCCCCCGCUUGUUGUGUCAGUGACUCCCUCCUUACUGCUCCUAUGUAUCUUUCAAUCUGAAUUUGCUUUUGCUCCGAGAAGGGUGAUCAUGAGGAGAAACAUUGAUGAAAUCCUGAAAAGAACACCGUCUACUUCAUGUACCAUAAGCCGUCUGAUGAAUGUGAUUUUUCAGCAAGAUGUUUGGCGUUGCACUAUGUAAAGCAUGUAUCUGUAAUCAUGAAGAGAAGUCCAGAAUGAAAGCAUCUAUUUUGGUUGGAAGUUUUGUUCCUUCUUUUGUUUAAGGUCUCUUGACAUAUUAUCCAAUUAGGUUUCUUAUGGUAUUAAUGUGAAAAGAGUUGACCUGAAACCAAACCAAACUGACAAUAUGUGUAGCAUUUCUUAAUAUUUAACACAUAGGAAAUUUAUAUCCUAAACAUUUUUGUAACUAUUUUUGGAACUUUUUGGGUUCUCUGGUUGAUUUGACGUGAUCUUAUAUAGUUAGACUUUGUUUCC